CUGGAGUCUGAGUAGCUGAAGUAAGUCAUGCUGGCACUGCAUGCCCAUGUGAUUGACCCCCAAUAAAAUCCCAGGACACUAAGGCUCAGGGAAAAACAUCAGCUGUGUAAACCAGCUACUCCCAAACAAAAGAUGAGGAAACCUGAAGCA